UACGUAGGGCGCAAGCGUUGUCCGGAAUUAUUGGGCGUAAAGAGCUCGUAGGCGGCUUGUCACGUCGGGUGUGAAAGCCCGGGGCUUAACCCCGGGUCUGCCUUCGAUACGGGCAGGCUAGAGUGUGGUAGGGGAGAUCGGAAUUCCGGGUGUAGCGGUGAAAUGCGCAGAUAUCAGGAGGAACACCGGUGGCGAAGGCGGCACUCUGGGCCGAUACUGACGCUGAGGAGCGAAAGCGUGGGUAGCAAACAGG
rnacentral:rRNA from 1 species